rnacentral:lncRNA from 1 species
CCACGUCAUCUCGAUUACUGUUGCUAAUCUCGUGUUAGUUCGAAACCGAUUAUAAUUCAAAAUUCAAAAUCAAGCAAACAAUAAAAGUUUUCAAAUAUUAAAACUAAAAUGUUCAAUAAAUAGUAGAUAAAUUAGAGGCUAUGAUAAAAUUGUAAACAACAUUAUUGAAAUUUGAUAAGUGACUUAAACAACCUCAAACAGUGGAUGAAAAGAUUAUUUAAUAACCUUUGUACUAAUACAAAAGAAAUAUGAAAUGAUAUUUACCCCAAACUAGUUUUUGGUGGUAGGAUAUAUUGGGCUGUGAUUUGUGGGCCAUCUCUCAUAUCUUACAAAACUCAUUUGGUGCCCAAACAAUUAGCCAAAACAGAAAAGAAAUAGAAUAAUAAAAAAAGCAGAAGAAACAAAAAGGGGAAAAGACCCCCCCCGGCGCUGGGCCUCAGCCCAGCUAGCCAUCCAACCAGGCCGGCCCACCUAAUCCCUCCAUAACCCCCCAUCGACGAAAACCCUAACCCGUGACCCGCACCCACUUCCCCCACUCCCUCGUCUCUCCCUCCCCCCCGAUCCAGAUCGGAUCGGGGCUGACCCCGUGGCCGCCGCCCGGUGCCGCCUCGUCCCUACGCCCCGUCGCCGGCCGGCGCCGCCCGUCUCCGCCGGCGCCUCCUCGUCUCCUCCCCACGCCAGACCUCCUCAACCUCCUCCCCGACGGCCUCACCAAGCCACGCUGCGCCCCGUCGCCGCUCGCCGUCUCUGGUGCCACCUCGCCGGCGCCGCCUCCCCGCCGGACUGCGUCGUCCUCGCCCCCGUCGCGCCGGACUACCCCAUCCCCGCCUCUCCUUCGCCGGUCCUCCCCGUGCCUCACCGCCCUCUUCUCGUCAACGGGGGUGAGCUCCCCGUCGGGCCCCAUCCGUCUCCCCCUCCGAACGCUGCACCACACGCCGUCCGAUCGCCACGCCCGCCGCGGACCUCUGGCCGUGAACGGCUACGCCCAACCGUGCCUCCACGCGCGCCCUGGCUGCCCUGUGCGUGCCUUGGCCACGUGCCUCGCCCGCCUGUGCGUCGGCGCUGCCGAGCCCGGACCUGUUUCGGCCGAACCCGUCGCCCCUCCCUCACCACGCCGUGCCACCCCACUCCGGCCACUGUCGCCGGCGCCGGGCCAUGCGCCGCCCCCCUUCACACGCUGGCCGCAGCGCCCUGUCGGGCGGGCUGGCGCCCGUCGCCCGGUUCCGCUCGGCGCCCGAGAACCACCACCCGCGUAACGUUAAGGCCCCUGGCUGAAUGACAAGUGGGACCCGCCCCACAAAACGAUCAAAAAAAUAAAAAUAAAAUAAUUAAUAAUUAAAAGAAUUAAAAUUAAUUAAUUAAUUAAGUUGCUUAAUUAAAUUAACUUCAGUUAACCUGCUAGUUAACUAAUUAAACUAUAAUUAGGUAAAUCAGUGUAUGACAGAGGGGGCCCACUGGUCAGUUUGACCAGUCAACAGUCAAACUUUGACUGCUGACUGGGCUGCUGACUCAGCCCCCUGUCCCCACCAGUCAGCCCCAUGUGUACACCUUUGGGUACACUUAUGUGUACCCGUAGCAUUUAGCUAGUUAAUUUUCAAUUAAUAAUAACCCCAAAAAUUGAUUAAAACUUUGAAAAUUAAUAUAAAAUAAACCGUAACUCGGAUGGAAAAACUUUGUACAUGAAAGUUGCUCAGAACGACGAGACGAAUCCGGAUACGCAGCCCGUUCGUCCGCCACACAUCCCUAGCAUAGCAAACACGCAACUUUCCCCCUCCGGUCCAUUUGUCCGAAAACGCGAAACACCGGGAAUACUUUCCCGGAUGUUUUCCCCCUUCGCCGGUAUCACUUUCUACCGCGUUAGGGCAUACCUAGCACCGCGUAUUGCCUCGUUAUGUUUUGUGAUGCUUUGGUUGCUCUGUUAUUUAUUGUGUUCCCCCUCCGUUACUUCUUUCCGGUAGACCCCGAGACUGCCGGCGACCCCCGAUCGACUACGGUGUUGACGACCCCUCAUUCUCGGCUGAGCUUCCAGGCAAGCCCCCACCCUUGAUCACCAGAUAUCGCCUAUUCUUCUCAAUACUGCUUGCAUUAGAGUAGUGUAGCAUGUUGCUGCUUUCUGUUAACCCUAUCCUGAUGCAUAGCCUGUCAUUGUUGCUACAGUUGUUACCUUUACCUACAAUCCUACAUGCUUAGUAUAGGAUGCUAGUUUUCCAUCAGUGGCCCUACAUUCUUGUCCGUCUGCCGUGCUAUACUAUCGGGCCGUGAUCACUUGGGCGGUGAUCACGGGUAUAUACUUAUAUACUCUAUACAUGACACCUGUGGUGACUAAAGUCGGGUCGGCUCGUAGGAGUACCCGCAAGUGGAUCUUUGUGGCGGAGCGAUAGGGCAGGUUGAGACCACCUAGACGAGAGGUGGGCCUGGCCCUGGACGGCGUCCGCGGUUACUUCAAAAUAACACGCUUAACGAGUUCUUGGUAUUUGAUCUGAAUCUGGCCAUUUGGUCUAUACGCACUAACCAACUACGCGGGAACAGUUAUGGGCACUCGACGUCGUGGUAUCAGCCGAAGCCUUCGUGACGUCAGCGACUGAGUGGCACACGCCGGAUUGGACUGGAACGCCACUAGGAUAGAUCUGCUUCCGGCCGCGUUCGCAACGUGCAGGUGUGCAAUGGGCGAUGGGCCCAGACCCCUGCGCCAUAGGAUUUAGACCGGCGUGCUGACCUCUCUGUUGUGCCUAGGUGGGGCUGCGACGUGUUGAUCUUCCGAGGCCGGGCAUGACCCAGAAAAGUGUGUCCGGCCAGAAAAUUGUGUCCGGCCAAAUGGGAUCGAGCGUGUUGGGUUAUGUGGUGCACCCCUGCAGGGAAGUUUAUCUAUUCGAAUAGCCGUGUCCCUCGGUAAAAGGACGACCUGGAGUUGUACCUUGACCUUAUGACAACUAGAACCGGAUGCUUAAUAAAACACACCCUUCCAAGUGCCAGAUACAACCCGGUGAUCGCUCUCUAACAGGGCGACAAGGAGGGGAUCGCCGGGUAGGAUUAUGCUAUGCGAUGCUACUUGGUGAACUUACCAUCUACUCUCUUCUACAUGCUGCAAGAUGGAGGUGGCCAGAAGCGUAGUCUUCGACAGGAUUAGCUAUCCCCCUCUUAAUCUGACAUUCUGCAGUUCAGUCCAUUGAUAUGGCCCUUUACACAUAUACCCAUGCAUAUGUAGUGUAGCUCCUUGCUUGCGAGUACUUUGGAUGAGUACUCACAGUUGCUUUUCUCCCUCUUUUCCCCUUUCUAUACCUAUUUGUCGCAACCAGAUGCUGGAGUCCAGGAGCUAGAGAUCCCGAGGAUGAUUCUACGUGGAGUUCGGCUUCGAGGAGUAGUUAGGAGGUCCCAAGCAGGAGGCCUUGCCUUUUCGAUCGUUGCUACUUUUGUGCUAGCCUUCUUAAGGCAAACUUGUUUAACUUAUGUCUGUACUCAGAUAUUGUUGCUUCCGCUGACUCGUCUAUGAUCGAGUACUUGUAUUCGAGCCCUCGAGGCCCCUGGCUUGUAUUAUGAUGCUUGUAUGACUUAUUUAUGUUGUAGAGUUGUGUUGUGAUAUCUUCCCGUGAGUCCCUGAUCUUGAUCGUACACAUUUGCGUGCAUGAUUAGUGUACGGUCAAAUUGGGGGCGUCACAAGUUGGUAUCAGAGCCAACUGCCUGUAGGAAUCCCCCUUUCCAACUCCUUGGCCGAAGUCGAGUCUAGUCAUUGCUAAACUUUUACUAACAUGGCUGUUGGCUUACGGGCCCACGUCGCCAUUGGGUGGUAUUAGGAUCUUUUACUCCUUGUCUAUACUCUAGGACUCUGAUCUCUCUUCUAUUCGGGUUAAGUGAAUUUUGCUAAAUCUAACAUUAGGAUCUCGUUAUCACUUUCACCCGGAGAGCCCCUUAUUGCUGAUGAUCGUCUGCUGCAUGUGAAGACCCUGAAGAUACUCUCCGCUCAUAACCCGAGAACUUGUGUUCAUCGCUUUUGCAAUUCCCUUUCAUCGGUAAACUCCUAUGGAUAACCACGUAUACUCGCUAUUCAUAUAAUGUUUCCCGGUUGAUCUUGUUACUACAAGAUACCCUGUAAUUCUCUCUGUUGUUACGAGAAUCCUUUGAGCUUACUGCCUUGCUGUUCUUUGUCACCUGAAUACCCCUACGGAUAAUUCUCGCACUUACCGAGUAUCCGCUCAUCCCCAGUUGAUUCAAGUAUUUCACAAAAGUGUUCAAAAUAUCAUUCGAUCUUCCGAAAAUCUUCAGGAGCCUUUUUACUCUUGAAAUUCUUGCUUACUUGCAUUAUGAUUAAUCUUAAGUCUCGUAAUCUUAUUGGCAUCUCUUGUCAUUAUCCUUUUGAGACCGUUGAUUCAAUUUGUUGUGAAUGCUCGCAAUCCUCAAUCAGAUCCUAGAAUUCAUCCUUCCGGCUCAGACGUCAUUUGAAACGUGAGCUGGUUCUCCCCCAAUCAAAUUGUCGUCGAUUGUGCCCCUAUGUCUAUUGAACUUAUCCAUCCUUGAUCAGAGCGUCUGUUUCUAAUCCUUCGCUUUGUAAAUCAUAAUUCCUUUGCAAUUGAGCUCUAAGUUACUUAGUUGUUUCUAUAAUCCAAGGUCUUUGCAUUGAUUCUUCCUCUGGUUGUGUGCCGAUACUCACGUCAGAUCCUUUAUGGACCAUCAUAACCUUGUUGGAUUUUAUCCGACGACGUCCUUCAUAUUCAAUAACUUUGUGUGUCUUUUCUCGGAUACAUAAUGCCUUUGGUAAAUUGUAUCCUAUGCUUUGUCAACAAUGCUCUCCUUUCGAGCUUGUGUUAUUUACUCCUGAAGUUUGUGGUAUAUGUUCCCAAGAUGACCCUAUGGGUUGAAGCCUUCUCUAAUCCGUGUGAACCCGAAAGUUUUCACGAGUCAUACUCUUCUGGUGCUUUGCCAGAUAAAAUUUCAGCACUACAACUUCUUCGUAAAUGAGAAGUGAAUGAAAGGUUAUGCAUUGCAGAAGUGGGAGUCGACCUUGAACAUUUGUGUUCAUGCCCACGGACACGAUGUGGAACUUAUCAUGAAAGCUUCUUGCAAGAAUAUUUAAACAUUCGAAUAAUUCUCCCGAUGUAGUAAAUUGGAUCCCUUGCAGUUAUGGUUUCAACCAUUCUAACCUUAUUCAAUACAUCUGGAAGGAAACCAUUCCAUUGCCUCGUCUAUCAUGACAAGAUUAAAGUAUCUGCUAUUGCAAGUCUACACUCCAGUUCAGUUUCUAUGCUGAUCUUCCCUUGAGUAGUACCCUCAAGUAUCUCGAGAAUACCAUGGAACUACCUAACUUCUUAUGAGUUCUUCAUCAACUAAUAUUCUUGCCGAUUCCAUUUUUUUCCAACGGGUUCUGAGUUGUUAGAACCCCUCAAGGACACCGAUAAGUGAAUCAAUUCCGCACUCCGAUUCAAUAACUCUAAGUAAUUUUUGUUGCUUACGAGUUUAAUAAUCCUUCAAGUCAUUCCUAGCCUGCUCGGCUAUGUCAUUAUCGUGCCGGUUUUAACUGUGCUACCUGGACCUUCCCAGCGCACAAAUUCGACAGUGAGCUAGUCUUGCGUCGAUCUUCCUCGUCAUAUCACUUCUCCUUGAACAGCAAACUUGAUUUCGAGUUUGUGCCCUACCCGUGGUUCCAAUAACCUUUCGCUUUCAUCAUUCCUUUGACUUGAUUUCAUCGUCGAUCAAUUUCAUCUUCUUGAAAACCUCUCGACAAAUUUGUCGUGAUCGUUGUCAACAAUUUGAUUUCUUCCAAGUUGCGUGUCAAAAUUCAGGAUGAGGAAUACCAUCCUUGCCCCUCGAUGAAUUGUGUUAUCAUCGACAACAUUCUUGCCUUCCCCCCAACACAAACUUGUUCAUAUUUUGUGUUGUAUCUUGACUUCCCUGCUAUCCAACCUAUGUUAUGUUCUAUCGUGGAGUAUUACCAUCUUUGAUGUCAAGAAUGUCGUGAGCAUUACUCCACCUCUUAAGAAUUCUUGGUACAGUGAUACUUCUCACCAUCACCAUUCUUUCUUGGUCCUCGUGUUGUUUCUAAAAGGAAUACCAACAAAUGGUAUGUGAUGUGUAAAUUCUAAACUUCUAGCAACCCUAUUGCUUUGAAGUUAUUGGUCUAUAGUUUCAUUCUACGUCUAUGGCUUAAUGAAUCAUCAUUCGAACAUUGAUUGUGCUACCUAGCCCAUAUUUCGGGUGCACAUUUCAACCAAUGUUUAACUGUGUAUGUUUUCCUCGAGCAUACAUCAUUAAGUCAUUCGAUCUAGCUAAUGUUAUCUCCUUGUUCACCUAGUGGUGGAAAUCCAUCUUUUGGAAAUCUCAAUGGAUUGUCGCUGAGUCAAUCAGUCACCUCCUCACCUCUCCUUGAUGUAAUGAUGAACCCUUGUUCGGAACUCGCUUCCAUAGUUCAUCUCCCGAGAAUCUUCGAUGUCGUUUCGACAAUUUGUUUUGCACCUUUUCUUCUCAGGCAUCCUGAGUCUGAGGUAUCCUGACACCAAUCAGAUCUGAAUCUCGGUCAGAUAUGAUGGUUGGAGCAUUUUUCCAAGAGUCAUAGCAUUGGUCUUUAUAUAACCCAGUAAGGUGAUAUCAUGCCUAGAGGCCCUAUUGUUAUAAGUUUUCCUUUUUAGCAAGGUUAGCUAUUCUUUCAUGAGGAAAUUGUAAGACUUACUCUAUAAGUUGUUCCUGAUGGAUCCUUUGUGUAUCCAUGGCCUGAUCUUACCUAAUGACCAUGUCAAUGCUAUCUCGAAGCAUGUCUGUGGUACUCCGAUCUUCAAUAAAAACAUUUGAAGCACAAUGCUAAAUUUUCGUUAUCCAUUAUUCAAACACCGUUGUUUGGGUGAAGUCAUGAACUUCCUCUUCCCUAACCUAAAUGGUUCUCUUCUAACCAUGGUCCUUGGGAAGGAUAUACCCCUGAAAUAUGUGUUUAAACACAUUUUCCUUUCCAUUGUUCUGUUUAAUCUGAUAAUCAUAUUUUCAUUUCCAUUGGCUGGUUUAACGUUUCUGGUGAUCAUUAUGAUCUAAGAAGUUAAUUCCCUGCUUGUGCAAACACCUCGGUGUACAACUCUGUCAGUAAGACCCUGUUACUAUUGUUGGUGACAUUCCGGUAACCAUCGAUGGACGAGAACCUUGCCUAUUGGUCCGCCUCGUUUCAACGAGCAGGAAAAUGGUUCUCUUCGUCCCUCGCCCUUGGUACCGACGAUGUUGCUGACAUAUAACUGACAGGCUACCCUCUGACAUGCCUUGCUAUCAUGAUCGUGCAAGAUGUCACCCCCUUCCUACUUUUAAUCCACAUGGUGGGCCCAUAACCCACAGUUCCACAGGAUCGAAACCUGACUCUCCUGUACACCCCCUGUUCCCAAGGUUGUUCCUCGCGCGUGGCCACACAUGUAAUUCACGAGCCACCUUUCGAGAGAUCAUCAAUUCUGGUAUAAGACACCAUACUUAUUCCCGUUGCUUUGAACCCCUUCCACGCCCUGUAACAGGCAUCGAACGAUUGCCUGCCCACUCGAAACUUCCCAUGAUACCUCCUUACUUUGCUCUCGAUAAUUUCUUAAGUAUCAAUUCGAGAGAUACUUUCUGCCACAUUGCCUGAGAUGUCUAACAGAUAGUCAACCUUGUAAAGUUCUUCCGAAGCUACCCCUUAUCCUUUUCGUAAGUACGAAGGAAAUUCCUGAAGGAAGGAUGACGACUUCAUCAAGAUGACCUGAAGCAGGGAAAUGAAGACAUCAAUGUAAUGGAUCGGCCUCUUCGAGAAGAGCAACCAAAAACAAGAAGAUCCGUUAGAAUUUCGUAACCAGAACUUUCCCCCUUACUCCACCUCUUAAAUCUCGGGACGAGAUUUCUUGUAGUGGAGGAGAAUUGUGACGCCCGGAUAAUCAAGCUACAUUAAACCUUUGCUAAUGGUGCCACGUCAUCUCGAUUACUGUUGCUAAUCUCGUGUUAGUUCGAAACCGAUUAUAAUUCAAAAUUCAAAAUCAAGCAAACAAUAAAAGUUUUCAAAUAUUAAAACUAAAAUGUUCAAUAAAUAGUAGAUAAAUCAGAGGCUAUGAUAAAAUUGUAAACAACAUUAUUGAAAUUUGAUAAGUGACUUAAACAACCUCAAACAGUGGAUGAAAACAUUAUUUAAUAACCUUU